AUCUAACCUACUGAACACCAUAGCUUAGUCCAGCCUUCCUUAAACAUCCUUACAACACUUACGUGGUCGCUGGCUCAGCAAUGAGCUCUCAAGCAAUUUCACAGAUAUUAAAAGAUCUUGUUGAUGACUACCAUCCACUGCUGGCCCUGCAUCCUGGGGCUGCUGGCCCCGUUCCCUUGACACCGCUCCUUUAUACAUCAGUUUAAAAGCACAUACCUACUUACAGUGGGAUUGAAUUAUGAAAUUGUGAAGUAGUAAACAUUUAAGUAAGACCUCAGUUCCAUCUUUCUUAACUACUUAUUUCCCUCUAGACCUCCCCUGUGUUUGCCUCAUCCCUUCCUUUAAAGUUUCA
rnacentral:lncRNA from 1 species